rnacentral:rRNA from 1 species
CCUACGGGAGGCAGCAGUGAGGAAUAUUGGUCAAUGGACGAGAGUCUGAACCAGCCAAGUAGCGUGAAGGAUGACUGCCCUAUGGGUUGUAAACUUCUUUUAUAUGGGAAUAAAAUGUUCCACGUGUGGGAUUUUGUAUGUACCAUAUGAAUAAGGAUCGGCUAACUACGUGCCAGCAGCCGCGGUAAUACGGAGGAUCCGAGCGUUAUCCGGAUUUAUUGGGUUUAAAGGGGGCGUAGGUGGAUUGUUAAGUCAGUUGUGAAAGUUUGCGGCUCAACCGUAAAAUUGCAGUUGAAACUGGCAGUCGUGAGUACAGUAGAGGUGGGCGGAAUUCGUGGUGUAGCGGUGAAAUGCUUAGAUAUCACGAAGAACUCCGAUUGCGAAGGCAGCUCACUGGACUGCAACUGACACUGAGGCUCGAAAGUGUGGGUAUCAAACAGGAUUAGAUACCCGUGUAGUC